rnacentral:rRNA from 1 species
AACGUAGGAGGCAAGCGUUAUCCGGAUUUACUGGGCGUAAAGCGCGUGCAGGUGGUUCGGAAAGUUGGAUGUGAAAGCUCCUGGCUUAACUAGGAGAGGCCGUUCAAUACUUCCGGGCUUGAGUGUGGGAGAGGGAGGUGGAAUUCCGGGUGUAGUGGUGAAAUGCGUAGAUAUCCGGAGGAACACCAGUGGCGAAAGCGGCCUCCUGGCCCGCUACUGACACUUAGACGCGAAAGCUAGGGUAGCAAACGGG